GUUGUACUACUUUUGGGAUAAAUUAUAUCAAAAUUAUAGAAAACUUCAUCGACUCUAACUCAAAAUAUGGACAAUUUUAUGUUUAGGGCGUCUUGAAAUCUUUUGACAGCUUCCGAAGUGCUAAUUUUCAACCUUUUUCAGCUGGCCCAAAUCACUACUUUCCUUUAAAAUUCUGAACCCAAAUUUUUUUACUGUGUAAUUUCACCCCCUCCUCCCCUCCCUUCUUGCAAUUUGAGGCAUUAAACAUGGAGAAAUAAGUUUGAAAGGGGUAAAAAAAAUAAUGGCAAGUAACCCACUGUCAACACUAGGGACUAUAUUUGUGAACAACGAAAAUCGGACAAUUGUGGUCUCGGACCUAAUUUUGAUAAAGGAUUUUUUUGUUUUGAAUUUUCCUCGUCGUUUGGUAUUUUUCUUUUUAUAUGCAGACUAAGGUGAUUUAUUGUUCGAGAAACUAUAUACAUAAAGAAUAUAACAUGCACUUGUCUGCAUUAGCAUACGCCAUACAUGAUUUAUUGAUCGUUAUAAUCUAAAUAUACUGAAGGUUUUCGGUAUGAUGAGGUUUAUAUUACCUUACUUCCUUAUUUUGUACGGAACACAUAAACGUAGAUUCUUCUUUUAUAUCCUUCCAUAAAGGAAAUAAUAAUGGUAAAAUAAAUAGAAUAAAAAAAUAAGUACCGUUCAUUUAGGUCAAGCAUAUUGCUUGACCUUGAAUAAGUGUUUUGUCAUUUGCUUCUACGCAUUUCACUAUGAAUUAAAGGACAUGCGGGGUUAUACAAAUAUGAAAGAAAUUGAUUAGCACAAAGUCAAAAGGUGUUGAAUACCAUAUCACAUAAAAGUUACAGUUACACAAAGCAAGUUUACAUCGCUUAAUCUGAAGAUAAUCCAUCAUACUAUCUGAAACUCGGAAAUCGGUGAGUGUCCGUUACAGUAUAUUUCCUGCAUAUUGUAUAAGCAUUACAAGAAUUCUCCGUCUUGUACAUUAACUCCCUACACUGACUUUCUGUUUGAUAGAUACAAUAGGAUUUAGAUCUCCAACCGCUAUUCAAACAAUUGUUUUUCUAUCAUGUUUUCGUGCUUAUACAAUCGAAGUUGCAAUUGUGUACAACAUAAUUCAAUGUGUGUUACCUAAACAUAAGCUGUUUGAUGACCGGUCAUUGGAUGUGUACAAACUUCAUAACAAACUUAUACAUACUUAGAAUUUUUGAAAUACUAAGGCUUUUCUAUCUCAGGAAUGGAUCACAUUAGCUGUAUUUGGCAAC
rnacentral:lncRNA from 1 species